AAUGCCCCACAGGCGCUAACUUCUCGUUGCGGUGCAUGCAAGAGAGCCAUAAUCAUCCUCUGGCUCACAGAUGAGGACACUGGGGUACAGCAUGGUUAAAUACUUCACAAGGCCAUCCGGCUAGACUAUGAGGAUGCUCGCACUUCCAUCCAGGUGGCCAUGGCUUAUUCCCUGCCCCCACCCGAUAGAAAUUUCCUGUACUCAACCACGAGUUAAAACCUGCUGCUUCGGGUGACUGUAAAUUUUCCACUUCUAUCUUCAACUUCUCAGUGCUGAAGCUAUCCAUAGAAAAUCUAGUUGUCAGAAGACCUCCAACCUUGACAAGGUUAGUCUGGGUUUACAGUCGAGUAGUUUGAUUUUUAAAGUAUUAUGAUGAUGAUGAUCAUUAUGGAGCUGUAGCAUGUACCUUCUAAUUUGGUUGUCAGGGGAGACAGGGAGUGGUAAUUAAGGCUAAAAGACGGAGAAUGAGAGCCUUAUUAAAGGGUAUAUGGAAGAUGGGAAUUUGAUCUGAGAAUUAGGCAGUGAUGAGCCUGCGGCUGCAGCUGUGGUGUUCUUGAGUGACAGAGGGACCGAGCAGGCAAUUAGAACGACAGGCGUCUGCCUAAUCUGUACAAUCCCGAACUCCAUCACAUCCAUUUAAAUUAAUUUUUAUGAAGCCUGCACGUUUAUAGCCUCACCAAAUUGGAAAUUUGUUUGUUUAUUGUCCACAGGAAGUAAUUUUAGGGGAGCAAACAGCACCGAGAGCAAUCCUGUCUUGCUUGUCUUUUUAACUUGUAAAAUUAAUAAUAGGAAAUGAAUCCGGAGGCUGCCGCCUUUAUGAAGGGCUGAUUGAUCCUUGGCAGCCGGGCACCAUCAUGAUCAUGGGAAGGUCAAAGGGAGGCAUGUAAAAGUCACCGCUGAUUGAGUCCCUGCGUGGAG
rnacentral:lncRNA from 1 species